rnacentral:tRNA from 1 species
ACCUGGGUGGCUCAGUCGGUUGAGCGUCUGACUUCAGCUCAGGUCAUGAUCUCGUGGUCUGUGAGUUCGAGCCCCGCAUCGGGCU